rnacentral:lncRNA from 1 species
UCCCAAGUCUCCACCCUUUCAUUCUAAACAUAAAGGGUUGGUGAAACUAUUUAUAUUUGUGACAAUAGUCUUUUUUUAUUAUUAUCCUAAGAUAUUUCUCAAAUUUUUUAGCAAAACUUCAAUAGAAGAACAAUUUAGUAUAGGAAAAAGGAACAUGUAGCAGUUUAAAGUCAUUAAUAGUUGAUUAAAAAAAAUCUUCGAAUAACAUCAUCAUUUCUUGGCAAAUGUUCAUAUAUAUAACUUAAGUGAUUCGUUUAAAAGAAGUAUAUUAUGUACAAUAAAAUGAAAGAUCAGCACCCACAACAAUAAUGUAUCAAUAUAUUUUUUAUUUAACACCCUUAUCCAAUGGAACCGAGGACCAAUCUUUAACCUUUUGGUCAACACCAUAUCUCAAUCUGAGCUAAUAUUUUGACCACUAUUGCAUGACACACACAGCAUGCCGUUGCGUCUGUACACGCAACAACAAUAUCCAUGCUAGUCUCUUCCCUCAAGCGUCUGCAUCAACUGUUCCACCCUUCAGAUUUCGGCGGCGAGUUACUCAACUAGUCAACACAAAAGCAAGAAAAUGUUAAGAUGACAAUCUUGAAACUUCAUACAGUAUAUAGUUAAAUAUAUAUAUAUAUAUAUAUAUAUAUAUAUAU